rnacentral:lncRNA from 1 species
CCAGCCCUCACCUUUCUCCCAUGCUGGGUGCUUCCUGCCCUCGAAUAUCAGACUGCAAGUUCUUCAGCUUUUGGACUCUUGGACUAACACCACUGGUUUGCCAGGGGCUCUCGAGCCUUCAGCCACGGCUGAAGGCUGCACUGUCAGCUUCCCUACUUUUGAGGUAUGGACUCAGACUGAUCCACUACCGGCUUCCUUGCUCCUCAACAUGCAGAUGGUCUAUCAUGGGACUUUACUUCGUGAUCAUGUGUGGUUUCCUGCCUAUCUUCUAAGGGUAGGAAAGAUGACAUUAGAGAAAGGGGAAAAAAGUUCCACUUAUGGACAACUCAUUCCAUCUUCAAUGAUGAAGACAGACUUUGGGGAAAAAGAGAAAAUCACUUGGAACCACUCAAAAGAAUCCAUUGCUUUUAUAAGUUGAAUUAUAAUAAAUAAGCUUUCCAAAGAAAACUAGA